rnacentral:rRNA from 1 species
AAGUCGUAACAAGGUCUCCGUUGGUGAACCAGCGGAGGGAUCAUUACCGAGUUUCCAACUCACAACCCAUUGUGAACAUACCUAUGUUGCUUCGGCGGUUCCACGGCUCCGGCCGCGCCGCCGAAGGCCCAAAACUCUUGUAUUACCAUGUGUUUACUCUGAGUAUUCUUGAAAUAAAUCAAAACCUUCAACAACGGAUCUCUUGGUUCUGGCAUCGAUGAAGAACGCAGCGAAAUGCGAUAAGUAAUGUGAAUUGCAGAAUUCAGUGAAUCAUCGAAUCUUUGAACGCACAUUGCGCCCGCCAGUAUUCUGGCGGGCAUGCCUGUCCGAGCGUCAUUUCAACCCUCGAACCCCUCCGGGGGGUCGGCGUUGGGGAUCGGCCCUUUACGGGGCCGGCCCCGAAAUACAGUGGCGGUCUCGCCGCAGCCUCUCCUGCGCAGUAGUUUGCACACUCGCAUCGGGAGCGCGGCGCGUCCAUUGCCGUAAAACACCCAACUUUCUGAAAUGUUGACCUCGGAUCAGGUAGGAAUACCCGCUGAACUUAAGCAUAUCAAUAAGCGGAGGAAAAGAAACCAACAGGGAUUGCCCCAGUAACGGCGAGUGAAGCGGCAACAGCUCAAAUUUGAAAUCUGGCCCCUAGGGUCCGAGUUGUAAUUUGUAGAGGAUGCUUUUGGUGAGGUGCCGCCCGAGUUCCCUGGAACGGGACGCCACAGAGGGUGAGAGCCCCGUCUGGCUGGCCGCCGAGCCUCUGUAAAGCUCCUUCGACGAGUCGAGUAGUUUGGGAAUGCUGCUCAAAAUGGGAGGUAUAUGUCUUCUAAAGCUAAAUAUUGGCCAGAGACCGAUAGCGCACAAGUAGAGUGAUCGAAAGAUGAAAAGCACCUUGAAAAGAGGGUUAAAUAGUACGUGAAAUUGUUGAAAGGGAAGCGCUUGUGACCAGACUUGGGCGCGGCGGAUCAUCCGGGGUUCUCUCCGGUGCACUUCGCCGCGUCUAGGCCAGCAUCAGUUCGUCGCGGGGGAAAAAGGCUUCGGGAACGUGGCUCCUCCGGGAGUGUUAUAGCCCGUUGCAUAAUACCCUGCGGUGGACUGAGGACCGCGCAUCUGCAAGGAUGCUGGCGUAAUGGUCACCAGCGACC